GAUGAACGCUAGCGGGAGGCUUAACACAUGCAAGUCGAGGGGCAGCAUAGGGUAGCAAUACUCUGAUGGCGACCGGCAAACGGGUGAGUAACGCGUAUGCAACCUACCCUGUACAGGGGGAUAACCCGGAGAAAUUCGGACUAAUAUCCCGUAAUAAUAUCCGGAGGCAUCUUUGGAUAUUUAAAGUUUCGACGGUACGGGAUGGGCAUGCGUAACAUUAGCUGGUUGGUAAGGUAACGGCUUACCAAGGCUAUGAUGUUUAGGGGUCCUGAGAGGGUGGUCCCCCACACUGGUACUGAGACACGGACCAGACUCCUACGGGAGGCAGCAGUGAGGAAUAUUGGUCAAUGGGCGCAAGCCUGAACCAGCCAUCCCGCGUGCAGGAAGACGGCCCUAUGGGUUGUAAACUGCUUUUCCAGGAGAGAAACUUACGCACGUGUUGCGUGACUGACGGUACCCUGGGAAUAAGCAUCGGCUAACUCCGUG
rnacentral:rRNA from 1 species